GACGAACGCUGGCGGCGUGCUUAACACAUGCAAGUCGAACGGAAAGGCCCUGCUUUUGUGGGGUGCUCGAGUGGCGAACGGGUGAGUAACACGUGAGUAACCUGCCCUUGACUUUGGGAUAACUUCAGGAAACUGGGGCUAAUACCGGAUAGGAGCUCCUGCUGCACGGUGGGGGUUGGAAAGUUUCGGCGGUUGGGGAUGGACUCGCGGCUUAUCAGCUUGUUGGUGGGGUAGUGGCUUACCAAGGCUUUGACGGGUAGCCGGCCUGAGAGGGUGACCGGCCACAUUGGGACUGAGAUACGGCCCAGACUCCUACGGGAGGCAGCAGUGGGGAAUAUUGCACAAUGGGCGGAAGCCUGAUGCAGCAACGCCGCGUGCGGGAUGACGGCCUUCGGGUUGUAAACCGCUUUCGCCUGUGACGAAGCGUGAGUGACGGUAAUGGGUAAAGAAGCACCGGCUAACUACGUGCCAGCAGCCGCGGUGAUACGUAGGGUGCGAGCGUUGUCCGGAUUUAUUGGGCGUAAAGGGCUCGUAGGUGGUUGAUCGCGUCGGAAGUGUAAUCUUGGGGCUUAACCCUGAGCGUGCUUUCGAUACGGGUUGACUUGAGGAAGGUAGGGGAGAAUGGAAUUCCUGGUGGAGCGGUGGAAUGCGCAGAUAUCAGGAGGAACACCAGUGGCGAAGGCGGUUCUCUGGGCCUUUCCUGACGCUGAGGAGCGAAAGCGUGGGGAGCGAACAGGCUUAGAUACCCUGGUAGUCCACGCUGUAAACGGUGGGUACUAGGUGUGGGGUCCAUUCCACGGGUUCCGUGCCGUAGCUAACGCUUUAAGUACCCCGCCUGGGGAGUACGGCCGCAAGGCUAAAACUCAAAGGAAUUGACGGGGCCCCGCACAAGCGGCGGAGCAUGCGGAUUAAUUCGAUGCAACGCGUAGAACCUUACCUGGGUUUGACAUGGAUCGGGAGUGCUCAGAGAUGGGUGUGCCUCUUUUGGGGUCGGUUCACAGGUGGUGCAUGGCUGUCGUCAGCUCGUGUCGUGAGAUGUUGGGUUAAGUCCCGCAACGAGCGCAACCCUUGUUCACUGUUGCCAGCACGUUAUGGUGGGGACUCAGUGGAGACCGCCGGGGUCAACUCGGAGGAAGGUGGGGAUGACGUCAAGUCAUCAUGCCCCUUAUGUCCAGGGCUUCACGCAUGCUACAAUGGCUGGUACAGAGAGUGGCGAGCCUGUGAGGGUGAGCGAAUCUCGGAAAGCCGGUCUCAGUUCGGAUUGGGGUCUGCAACUCGACCUCAUGAAGUCGGAGUCGCUAGUAAUCGCAGAUCAGCAACGCUGCGGUGAAUACGUUCCCGGG
rnacentral:rRNA from 1 species